rnacentral:rRNA from 1 species
GACGAACGCUGGCGGCGUGCCUAAUACAUGCAAGUCGAGCGGAGUUAGAGAAGCUUGCUUCUCUAAUUUAGCGGCGGACGGGUGAGUAACACGUGGGCAAUCUGCCCGUAAGACUGGGAUAACUCCGGGAAACCGGGGCUAAUACCGGAUAAUACUGACUCUCUCCUGAGAGUCAGUUGAAAGAUGGUUUCGGCUAUCACUUACGGAUGAGCCCGCGGCGCAUUAGCUAGUUGGUAGGGUAAUGGCCUACCAAGGCGACGAUGCGUAGCCGACCUGAGAGGGUGAUCGGCCACACUGGGACUGAGACACGGCCCAGACUCCUACGGGAGGCAGCAGUAGGGAAUCUUCCGCAAUGGACGAAAGUCUGACGGAGCAACGCCGCGUGAGUGAAGAAGGUUUUCGAAUCGUAAAACUCUGUUGUUAGGGAAGAACACGUACGAGAGUAACUGCUCGUACCUUGACGGUACCUAACCAGAAAGCCACGGCUAACUACGUG